AGUGAUAAGACCCGUAGUCAAGAGGGAAACAGCCCAGACCAACAGCUAAGGUCCCGAAUGCCGUACUAAGUGGCAAAGGAGGUGGCGUUUCGAAAACAACCAGGAUGUUGGCUCAGAAGCAGCCAUCAUUAAAAGAGUGCGUAAUAGCUCACUGGUCGAGAGACGCGGCGCCGAAGAUGACCGGGGCUGAAGUACGGAACCGAAGCUUUGGCAUGUAUGGAGACAUACAUGGGUAGGGGAGCGUUCCUGCGUGGGAGAAGCCUGACCGGAAGGACAGGUGGACAGGCAGGAAGCGAGAAUGCCGGUAUGAGUAGCGAAAAGAAAGGUGGGAAUCCUUUCCACCGAAAGCCUAAGGGUUCCUGGGCAACGAUCGUCGACCCAGGGUAAGUCGGGGCCUAAUCCGAGGCGCAGACGCAUAGGAGAUGGACAACAGGUUGAAAUUCCUGUACCGACACCGUCCGAUAGAGCGAGGGAGUGACACAAGAAGGAACGUUCGCAUGCGAAUGGAAGAGCAUGUCCAAGCCGGUAGGUGGCGUAUCAGGCAAAUCCGGUACGCCGAAAGCCGAGAGGUGAUGGGGAGGCUGUAGGGAUACAGAGGAAGGAACGGGGACUCAAUUGUCAAGAAAAGCUUCUAGCGAGGACGGUGGCGCCCGUACCGAAACCGACACAGGUAGGCAGGACGAGAAUUCUAAGGUGCGCGGGAAACCCCUCGUUAAGGAACUCGGCAAAAUGUAUCCGUAACUUCGGGAAAAGGAUAACCCAGAGUACGUGAAGGAAAGAAACAUCCGGAGCGGGAAUGGGUGGCACAAGAGAGGCCCAAGCGACUGUUUACCACAAACACAGGCGUCUGCUAAAGAGAAAUCUGAUGUAUAGAUGCUGACACCUGCCCGGUGCUGGAAGGUUAAGAGGACGUGUUAGCCGCAAGGCGAAGCAGAGAAUUGAAGCCCCAGUAAACGGCGGCCGUAACUAUAACGGUCCUAAGGUAGCGAAAUUCCUUGUCGGGUAAGUUCCGACCCGCACGAAAGGUGUAACGAUUUGGGCACUGUCUCAACGAGGGACCCGGUGAAAUUGAAGUACCUGUGAAGAUGCAGGUUACCCGCGACUGGACAGAAAGACCCCAUGGAGCUUUACUGUAACCUGAGAUUGAAUUUUGGUAGAAGAUGUACAGGAUAGUUGGGAGACGUAGAAGCGCGCACGCCAGUGUACGCAGAGUCGAUGGUGGGAUACCAACCUUGUUUUAUUGAAAUUCUAACGAGAGCCGUAACGAGGCUGCGGACAGUCUCAGGCGGGCAGUUUGACUGGGGCGGUCGCCUCCGAAAGAGCAACGGAGGCGCCCAAAGGUUCCCUCAGCGCGGACGGAAACCGCGCGAAGAGUGUAAAGGCAGAAGGGAGCUUGACUGCGAGACGGACAGGUCGAGCAGGGACGAAAGUCGGGCUUAGUGAUCCGGUGGUAGAGAGUGGAAUUGCCAUCGCUCAACGGAUAAAAGCUACCCUGGGGAUAACAGGCUAAUCUCUCCCAAGAGUCCAUAUCGACGGGGAGGUUUGGCACCUCGAUGUCGGCUCAUCACAUCCUGGGGCUGUAGUAGGUCCCAAGGGUUGGGCUGUUCGCCCAUUAAAGUGGUACGCGAGCUGGGUUCAGAACGUCGUGAGACAGUUCGGUCCCUAUCCAUCGCGGGCGCAAGAAACUUGAAAGGGGCUGCUCCUAGUACGAGAGGACCGGAGUGGACGAACCAAUGGUGUAUCGGUUAUGCCGCCAGGCGUACAGCCGAGUAGCUACGUUCGGGACGGAUAAACGCUGAAAGCAUCUAAGCGUGAAACCAGCCUAAAGAUGAGGUUUCUCAUUGCGUAAGCAAGUAAGGCCCCAUGAAGACGACAUGGUUGAUAGGCCGGGAGUGGAAGUGCAGCAAUGCAUGGAGCGGACCGGUACUAAUAGGCCGAGGACUUAUCUUA
rnacentral:rRNA from 1 species